rnacentral:misc_RNA from 1 species
GAUGAAGAACGCAGCGAAAUGCGAUACGUAAUGUGAAUUGCAGAAUUCAGUGAAUCAUCGAAUCUUUGAACGCAUAUUGCGCUCUCUGGUAUUCCGGAGAGCAUGCUUGUUUGAGUAUCAGUAAACACCUCAACUCCCUUUUCUUUUUUGAAAUUGGAGCUGGACUUGAGUGAUCCCAACGCUUUCUUCCAAGAAAGUGGCGGGUUGCUUGAAAUGCAGGUGCAGCUGAACUUUUCUCUGAGCUAUAAGCGUAUCUAUUUAGUCUGCCUAAAAAACAGAUUAUUACCUUUGCUGCAGCUAACAUAAAGGAGACUAGUUCUUGUGCUGACUGAUGCAGGAUUCACAGAGACAGCUUCGGCUGACUUUGUAAACUCGAUCUCAAAUCAAGUAAGACUACCCGCUGAACUUAAGCAUAUCAAUAAGCGGAGGA